rnacentral:lncRNA from 1 species
UUUUUAGUACCGUCAUCUUUGCGGUUGUACUGCGUCGGACAUUUUUGCGAAGACUUUCGUGACGGUGGCAGUGCCUUUGCACUACCAGGGGCCAGCGUUAGUACCGCUGGAGUGCCAGCGGUAGUACCGCUGCAACCAGCGGUAGUACCGCUAGCCGUCGGUAGUACCGCCCCUGGUCAGCGGUAGUACCGCUGGAAUGCCAGCGGUAGUACCGCUGGAGCUCGGGCAAAGAGUGGGAAAACGGUUGGAUUUUCCCCCCACUAUAUAAAGGGGGUCUUCUUCCCCCUUGGUCUUAUCUAUCCAUUGAGCUCUUGUUCUACCUCCAUUGUUGACAUUCUUAGAGCUUGCUUACUCUCA